GACGAACGCUGGCGGCGUGCCUAAUACAUGCAAGUAGAACGCUGAAGGAGGAGCUUACUUCUCUGGAUGAGUUGCGAACGGGUGAGUAACGCGUAGGUAACCUGCCUGGUAGCGGGGGAUAACUAUUGGAAACGAUAGCUAAUACCGCAUAAGAGUAGAUGUUGCAUGACAUUUACUUAAAAGGUGCAAUUGCACCACUACCAGAUGGACCUGCGUUGUAUUAGCUAGUUGGUAGGGUAACGGCUUACCAAGGCGACGAUACAUAGCCGACCUGAGAGGGUGAUCGGCCACACUGGGACUGAGACACGGCCCAGACUCCUACGGGAGGCAGCAGUAGGGAAUCUUCGGCAAUGGACGGAAGUCUGACCGAGCAACGCCGCGUGAGUGAAGAAGGUUUUCGGAUCGUAAAGCUCUGUUGUAAGAGAAGAACGAGUGUGAGAGUGGAAAGUUCACACUGUGACGGUAUCUUGCCAGAAAGGGACGGCUAACUACGUGCCAGCCGCCGCAGUAA
rnacentral:rRNA from 1 species